rnacentral:tRNA from 1 species
GGCCCGUUAGCCUCAGUUGGUUAGAGCGUCGUGCUAAUAACGCGAAGGUCGUGGGUUCGAUCCCCCCACGGGCCA